GACGAACGCUGGCGGCGUGCUUAACACAUGCAAGUCGAGCGGUAAGGCCCUUUCGGGGGUACACGAGCGGCGAACGGGUGAGUAACACGUGGGUGACCUGCCCUCAGCUCUGGGAUAAGCCUGGGAAACCGGGUCUAAUACCGGAUAUGACUCCAUGACGCAUGUUGUGGGGUGGAAAGCCUUGUGCGGCUGAGGAUGGGCCCGCGGCCUAUCAGCUUGUUGGUGGGGUGANGGCCUACCAAGGCGACGACGGGUAGCCGGCCUGAGAGGGCGACCGGCCACACUGGGACUGAGACACGGCCCAGACUCCUACGGGAGGCAGCAGUGGGGAAUCUUGCGCAGUGGGCGAAAGCCUGACGCAGCGACGCCGCGUGAGGGAUGACGGCCU
rnacentral:rRNA from 1 species